rnacentral:lncRNA from 10 species
AAUGAUUUUACCAGCACUAAAAGGAAUAAAGAAGAAAAAGCAAAACAAAAAGAUCUUGUUGCGGGACAAUCAAAGAUGGGAGACACCGAACAGCAUGGGUUAUCUGCCUGGCCGAUGCCACGAUGUCCAUUCCUGUACUGUACACAUGGUAACAAAAAAGGGAAGAUGGAGCCUCCAUGUUGGAUAUGCCUGGCCCCCAGAAGUUCCAGGGUCUAAUCUUGACAUAAACCAGACAUGGAGGCCCAGCUGCAAAAUGCCAGAGAUUACCUCAAGGCUGUUAGUCUACAACCCGGCCAUCGUUCAGAUGACAUCAGAUCACCCUGACAGUCACCAGGGAAACAAGAGACACAGACCUUGAACUCAGCACCACUCCUGCAUACUUCCCAUUCCAAGUUCCCCUUUUUAAGUCCCUCUCCCUAGCCUAAAGUUGGGAAUGGUCUUUUAAAGGCAUGAGCCUGGCUAUUCCCCAACUUCUAGCAUUUGAAUAAAGUUGCUUUCCUUUCACCACACC